GGCUUGUUUUGCCCAGGCAGAACUCGACCGCCCACUCAAAAAAUGACCACCUUUAUCGAUGAACAUCGUGAGGUUUAUGGGGUCGAGUCGAUCGUGCGUGUUCUACUGAUCCCCUCC
rfam:Acidocella aminolytica 101 = DSM 11237 DNA, contig: Aam_016.